CUUGUAAGAGGUCCAGCCUGCCCUGUGACGUUUAACGGCCGCGGUAUUUUAACCGUGCGAAGGUAGCGCAAUCACUUGUCUUUUAAAUGGAGACCUGUAUGAAUGGCAUUACGAGGGCUUAACUGUCUCCUUUUUCAAGUCAGUGAAAUUGAUCUCCCCGUGCAGAAGCGGGGAUACACCCAUAAGACGAGAAGACCCUAUGGAGCUUUUUGGUUGGGGCGACCGCGGGGCCCCAACCAAGAGCUCUAAUUAACAGAUUCUGACCAGAUCCGGGAUCAACGGACCGAGUUACCCUAGGGAUAACAGCGCAAUCCCCUUUUAGAGCCCAUAUCGACAAGGGGGUUUACGACCUCGAUGUUGGAUCAGGACAUCCUAAUGGUGCAGCCGCGCCUAGCCGUAAACAUUGAUAGAUCUAUCCGCCUGGGUACUACGAGCAUCAGCUUGAAACCCAAAGGACUUGGCGGUACUUUAGAUCCCCCUAGAGGAGCCUGUUCUAUAACCGAUGACCCCCGUUCAACCUCACCCUCCCUUGCCCGCCUAUAUACCGCCGUCGUCAGCUUACCCUGUGAAGGUCUAAUAGUAAGCAAAAUUGG
rnacentral:rRNA from 1 species